rnacentral:rRNA from 1 species
UGGGGAAUAUUGCACAAUGGGCGCAAGCCUGAUGCAGCGACGCCGCGUGGGGGAUGACGGCCUUCGGGUUGUAAACCUCUUUCACCAUCGACGAAGGUCCGGGUUUUCUCGGAUUGACGGUAGGUGGAGAAGAAGCACCGGCCAACUACGUGCCAGCAGCCGCGGUAAUACGUAGGGGGCGAGCGUUGUCCGGAAUUACUGGGCGUAAAGAGCUCGUAGGUGGUUUGUCGCGUUGUUCGUGAAAUCUCACGGCUUAACUGUGAGCGUGCGGGCGAUACGGGCAGACUAGAGUACUGCAGGGGAGACUGGAAUUCCUGGUGUAGCGGUGGAAUGCGCAGAUAUCAGGAGGAACACCGGUGGCGAAGGCGGGUCUCUGGGCAGUAACUGACGCUGAGGAGCGAAAGCGUGGGGAGCGAACA